AACGAACGCUGGCGGCAUGCCUAACACAUGCAAGUCGAACGAGACCUUCGGGUCUAGUGGCGAACGGGUGCGUAACGCGUGGGAACCUGCCCUUAGGUUCGGAAUAACUCCCCGAAAGGGGUGCUAAUACCGGAUAAUGUCUUCGGCCCAAAGAUUUAUCGCCUUUGGAUGGGCCCGCGUUGGAUUAGCUAGUUGGUAGGGUAAAAGCCUACCAAGGCGACGAUCCAUAGCUGGUCUGAGAGGAUGAUCAGCCACACUGGGACUGAGACACGGCCCAGACUCCUACGGGAGGCAGCAGUGGGGAAUAUUGGACAAUGGGCGAAAGCCUGAUCCAGCAAUGCCGCGUGAGUGAUGAAGGCCUUAGGGUUGUAAAGCUCUUUUACCCGGGAUGAUAAUGACAGUACCGGGAGAAUAAGCUCCGGCUAACUCCGUG
rnacentral:rRNA from 1 species